rnacentral:rRNA from 1 species
UCUUCCACAAUGGACGAAAGUCUGAUGGAGCAACGCCGCGUGAGUGAAGAAGGGUUUCGGAUCGUAAAACUCUGUUAUUGGAGAAGAACGUAUUUGGUAGUAACUGGCCAGAUAGUGACGGUAUCCAAUCAGAAAGCCACGGCUAACUACGUGCCAGCAGCCGCGGUAAUACGUAGGUGGCAAGCGUUGUCCGGAUUUAUUGGGCGUAAAGCGAGUGCAAGCGGUUUUUUAAGUCUGAUGUGAAAGCCUUCGGCUUAACCGAAGAAAUGCAUUGGAAACUGGGAAACUUGAGUGCAGAAGAGGAGAGUGGAACUCCAUGUGUAGCGGUGAAAUGCGUAGAUAUAUGGAAGAACACCAGUGGCGAAGGAGGCUCUCUGGUCUGUAACUGACGCUGAGGCUCGAAAGCGUGGGUAGCAAACAG